CGGAGGGUGCAAGCGUUAUCCGGAUUCACUGGGUUUAAAGGGUGCGUAGGCGGGCAGGUAAGUCAGUGGUGAAAUCCUAGAGCUUAACUCUAGAACUGCCAUUGAUACUAUCUGUCUUGAAUAUUGUGGAGGUAAGCGGAAUAUGUCAUGUAGCGGCGAAAUGCUUAGAUAUGACAUAGAACACCUAUUGCGAAGGCAGCUUACUACGCAUAUAUUGACGCUGAGGCACGAAAGCGUGGGGAUCAGACAGGAUUAGAUACCCUGGUAGUCCACGCCCUAAACGAUGAUUACUCGACAUUUGAGAUACACUUUAAGUGUCUGAGCGAAAGCAUCAAGUAAUCCACCUGGGAAGUACGACCGCAAGGUUG
rnacentral:rRNA from 1 species